GACAGAGGGUGCAAACGUUGUUCGGAUUUACUGGGCGUAAAGCGUGUGUAGGCGGCUUCGCAAGUUGGAUGUGAAAUCCCACGGCUCAACCGUGGACGUGCAUCCAAAACUGCGUCGCUAGAGUCUCGGAGAGGAAGGUGGAAUGCUUGGUGUAGAGGUGAAAUGCGUAGAUAUCUGGAGGAAUACCGGUGGCGAAGGCGGCAUCCUGGACCAUUACUGACGCUGAGGCGCGAAAGCUAGGGGAGCAAACGGG
rnacentral:rRNA from 1 species